ensembl:misc_RNA Metazoa_SRP Metazoan signal recognition particle RNA
GCCGGGCGUGGUAGCUCACGCCUGUAAUCCCAGCACUUUGGGAGGCCGAGGCGGGUGGAUCACCUGAGAUCAGGAGUUCCAGACCAGCCUGGCCAACAUGGUGAAACCCCGUCUCUA